rnacentral:rRNA from 1 species
AUUGAACGCUGGCGGCAGGCCUAACACAUGCAAGUCGAACGGCAGCGGGGGAUAGCUUGCUAUCCUGCCGGCGAGUGGCGGACGGGUGAGUAAUGCAUGGGGAGCUGCCCAGUCGAGGGGGAUACCAACGGGAAACGGUCGCUAAUACCGCAUACGCCCUACGGGGGAAAGGUGGGCAACUUCGGUGCUACCGAGAUCGGACGCGCCCAUGUGGGAUUAGCUAGUUGGCGAGGUAACGGGUCACUAAGGCGACGAUCUCUAGCUGGUCUGAGAGGAUGACCAGCCACACUGGAACUGAGACACGGUCCAGACUCCUACGGGAGGCAGCAGUGGGGAAUAUUGCACAAUGGGGGAAACCCUGAUGCAGCCAUGCCGCGUGUGUGAAGAAGGCCUUCGGGUUGUAAAGCACUUUCAGUCAGGAGGAAGGGGUGAUGGCUAAUAUCCAUCAUCAUUGACGUUACUGACAGAAGAAGCACCGGCUAACUCCGUGCCAGCCGCCGCGGUAA